CUUCGGUGGGGAUUAGUGGCGAACGGGUGAGUAACACGUGGGCAAUCUGCCCUUCACUCUGGGACAAGCCCUGGAAACGGGGUCUAAUACCGGAUACUGACCCUCGCAGGCAUCUGCGAGGGUCGAAAGCUCCGGCGGUGAAGGAUGAGCCCGCGGCCUAUCAGCUUGUUGGUGAGGUAAUGGCUCACCAAGGCGACGACGGGUAGCCGGCCUGAGAGGGCGACCGGCCACACUGGGACUGAGACACGGCCCAGACUCCUACGGGAGGCAGCAGUGGGGAAUAUUGCACAAUGGGCGAAAGCCUGAUGCAGCGACGCCGCGUGAGGGAUGACGGCCUUCGGGUUGUAAACCUCUUUCAGCAGGGAAGAAGCGAAAGUGACGGUACCUGCAGAAGAAGCGCCGGCUAACUACGUGCCAGCAGCCGCGGUAAUACGUAGGGCGCAAGCGUUGUCCGGAAUUAUUGGGCGUAAAGAGCUCGUAGGCGGCUUGUCACGUCGGUUGUGAAAGCCCGGGGCUUAACCCCGGGUCUGCAGUCGAUACGGGCAGGCUAGAGUUCGGUAGGGGAGAUCGGAAUUCCUGGUGUAGCGGUGAAAUGCGCAGAUAU
rnacentral:rRNA from 1 species